rnacentral:rRNA from 1 species
UAGAGGAAGUAAAAGUCGUAACAAGGUUUCCGUAGGUGAACCUGCGGAAGGAUCAUUAAAGAUUCUGGGCCUUUACCUGCCCGUCUCAAUUCUGGCUGUGCGCCCUUCCGGGGGCUGCACGCCGGGAUGAAACACCUCACACCUGUGCACCUUUUCGGUUGCGGUUUCGGCCGCUGCCGCUUUCACAUGCAACUACACCAGUCUCGAAUGUCAUUAAAACUAUAAAAGUAACAACUUUCAACAACGGAUCUCUUGGCUCUCGCAUCGAUGAAGAACGCAGCGAAAUGCGAUAAGUAAUGUGAAUUGCAGAAUUCAGUGAAUCAUCGAAUCUUUGAACGCAUCUUGCGCUCCUUGGUAUUCCAUGGAGCAUGCCUGUUUGAGUGUCACGUAAACCCUCACCCUCGCGAUGUUACAGUCGCCCGCGGUGGACUUGGACCGUGCCGUAACCGGCUCGUCUUGAAAUGCAUUAGCUGGCGCUUUUAGAGUGCUGGGCGACGGUGUGAUAAUUAUCUGCGCCAAUGCCCUGGGCCUCUUCAGCGGUGCCGCUUACAGUCGUCCCUUCCGCGGACAAUUUACUAUAAAGCUUUGGCCUCAAAUCAGGUAGGACUACCCGCUGAACUUAAGCAUAUC